rnacentral:snRNA from 1 species
AGCUUUACACAGUGGCAGUAAUCAUAGUCAAUGAGGUUUAUCUGAGGUGUGCUUAUUGCUAAUUGAAAACUUUUCCCAAUAGCCCACCAUGACAACUUGCAGUAUAGUCGGCAUUGGCAAUUUUUGAUGGUCCCUACAGGGA